rnacentral:rRNA from 1 species
GAUGAACGCUAGCUACAGGCUUAACACAUGCAAGUCGAGGGGAAACGGGAGAAUAGCUUGCUAUUCUUUGUCGUCGACCGGCGCACGGGUGAGUAACGCGUAUCCAACCUUCCCAUAACUAAGGAAUACCCCGUAGAAAUGCGGCCUAAUCCCUUAUGGUCUCUUAUGCCUGUCAUGGGAAUAAGAGUAAAGAUUUAUCGGUUAUGGAUGGGGAUGCGUCUGAUUAGCUUGCUGGCGGGGUAACGGCCCACCAGGGCAUCGAUCAGUAGGGGUUCUGAGAGGAAGGUCCCCCACAUUGGAACUGAGACACGGUCCAAACUCCUACGGGAGGCAGCAGUGAGGAAUAUUGGUCAAUGGGCGGAAGCCUGAACCAGCCAAGUAGCGUGCAGGAUGACGGCCCUAUGGGUUGUAAACUGCUUUUUAAGGUGAAUAAAGAGGGGCACGUGUGCCCUGUUGCA